AUUGAACGCUGGCGGCAGGCCUAACACAUGCAAGUCGAACGAGUGGCGGAAGGGUGAGUAAUGUCUGGGAAACUGCCUGAUGGAGGGGGAUAACUACUGGAAACGGUAGCUAAUACCGUAUACAAGCGGAUGUGCCCAGAUGGGAUUAGCUAGUAGGUGGGGUAAAGGCUCACCUAGGCGACGAUCCCUAGCUGGUCUGAGAGGAUGACCAGCCACACUUGAACUGAGACACGGUCCAGACGCCUACGGGAGGCACCAGUGGGGAAUAUUGCACAAUGGGCGCAAGCCUGAUGCAGCCAUGCCGCGUGGAUGAAGAAGGCCUUCGGAUUGUAAAGCACUUUCAGCGGGGAGGCGUUACCCGCAGAAUAAGCACCGGCUAACUCCGUGCCAGCCGCCGCGGUAAUUC
rnacentral:rRNA from 1 species